rnacentral:rRNA from 1 species
AGUGAACGCUGGCGGUAGGCCUAACACAUGCAAGUCGAACGGCAGCACAGUAAGAGCUUGCUCUUACGGGUGGCGAGUGGCGGACGGGUGAGGAAUACAUCGGAAUCUACUUUUUCAUGGGGGAUAACGUAGGGAAACUUACGCUAAUACCGCAUACGACCUACGGGUGGAAGCAGGGGAUCUUCGGACCUUGCGCGAUUGAAUGAGCCGAUGUCGGAUUAGCUAGUUGGCGGGGUAAAGGCCCACCAAGGCGACGAUCCGUAGCUGGUCUGAGAGGAUGAUCAGCCACACUGGAACUGAGACACGGUCCAGACUCCUACGGGAGGCAGCAGUGGGGAAUAUUGGACAAUGGGCGCAAGCCUGAUCCAGCCAUACCGCGUGGGUGAAGAAGGCCUUCGGGUUGUAAAGCCCUUUUGUUGGGAAAGAAAAGCAGCAGGUUAAUACCCCGCUGUUCUGACGGUACCCAAAGAAUAAGCACCGGCUAACUUCGUG